rnacentral:rRNA from 1 species
AUUGAACGCUGGCGGCAUGCUUUACACAUGCAAGUCGAACGGCAGCGCGGGCUUCGGCCUGGCGGCGAGUGGCGAACGGGUGAGUAAUGCAUCGGAACGUGCCCCGUAGUGGGGGAUAGCCCGGCGAAAGCCGGAUUAAUACCGCAUACGACCUGUGGGUGAAAGCGGGGGACCGAAAGGCCUCGCGCUAUUGGAUCGGCCGAUGUCGGAUUAGCUAGUUGGUGGGGUAAAGGCUUACCAAGGCGACGAUCCGUAGCUGGUCUGAGAGGGCGACCAGCCACACUGGGACUGAGACACGGCACAGACUCCUACGGGAGGCAGCAGUGGGGAAUUUUGGACGAUGGGGGCAACCCUGAUCCAGCCAUGCCGCGUGCGGGAAGCAGGCCUUCGGGUUGUAAACCGCUUUUGUUCGGGAAGAAAGCCUCUAGGAUAAUACCCCGGGGGGAUGACGGUACCGGAAGAAUAAGCACCGGCUAACUACGUG